AGAAUCAACGCUGGCGGCGUGCCUCAGACAUGCAAGUCGAACGAGAAAGUUCCCUUCGGGGAACGAGUACAGUGGCGUCCGGGUGAGUAACACGUAGGUAAUCUACCUUCGGGUGGGGGAAUAACCCAGGGAAACUUGGGCUAAACACCGCAUAAUGCAGCGGCACCACAUGGUGACAGUUGUUAAAGCGGGGGAUUUUCGGACCUCGCGCCUGAAGAGGAGCCUGCGGCGGAUUAGCUAGGUUGGUAAGGUAACGGCUUACCAAGGCAACGAUCCGUA
rnacentral:rRNA from 1 species